CACAAUUAAGUUAUACACACACACAUAUAAAAACUAGUAAUUAAUUAAGUUUAUUUUCUGAUGAUAAGUAUUCACAACAACUAUUUUACAAUAGAACUUCCGAGGGAGGAACGUUUGAACUCUUAAGCCUGGCUGCUUGACUAAUUAUAGGCCAAAUAGUGCUGGAAACAUUUUUCAACUUUCAUGUUUAUCACAUCUAUUAUUUAUGUCAUAGGUUAUUCAUGCAUGCACCCUUUCAAAAUUAUUAAACGCAUUUAAACUAAAACCAAAUAUUUGGCAUGAACUCAUGACUCAUAAAAUGAACAGAUAUAUAUAUAUAUAUAUAUAUAUAUAUAUAUAUAUAUAUAUAUAUAUAUAUAUAUAUAUAUAUUGAACUACAAAACUGUCAAUAUAUAGUUUCUGGAUUUCAAUUUUCUCUCCUUUUCUUGUUCUUUCCCUUUAUUUUUCAAGUUCCAAACAUAACACAAAUAAAUUUUCAUAUUACCACUAUUACUUUUCAAGUUUUAAAACCUAACUAGUGAAGCUUGGUUUUGCAAAAAAAACCCUCUAGACUAGUUAACAUGCAUGGAACUGUACUAGUUUAAUGCUGAUCGUAAGCCACACAAUAUUGGACUCCCUAGCAACUUUAUACUCAUUAAAUAUUAUAUUGCAAGUAUAUAUACAAAAGAGUUAUAUAUAUCCCAAUUAUAGUGGUUACUUUGGAUCAUGAGACUUUUUGCAUGAUGGCAUGUUUGGUUGUCUCAAAUAAUUCUUUCAAUUUUUUUUUUUUCAGAUAUAGCAAAAUAUACUACUUUACUCUAUCCUAAGGAACGGAGAAAGGUUACUGCGUUUUGCUGAUAGUUGAACCAUGCCACUUGCUGUCCAUCAGUUCCUUGUUCGAAAAUCAGUGUCUAAUUGUGAAGGUGACACCGUGCGCAAAGGAAAGGAAAAAACUUUAGUCCAAAAGGAGUUAAUUAUUAUGUUUUCCUUUAGGAAUUACGGAGAUUCGUAGUAUAUCAAAUCAAAACUCCAACCAAAAGUUACAAGAUUCAUCACCUUCGGACAUGACAGAUGUUGUUUUAAGCCAAAAAGAGAUCUAGAAAGUCAUGUUUGGGCCUUCCAAAGUUUUACUAAUUUUUGAACUUAUUGGUCUUUUUGUAAUUUUGCUACUCCUUUCGUAAUUAAGAUUUUCAGCUUAUUAUUUAGUACUUAAAUGAUGAUUUUGGGUGUUUUAGGAUUAAGUCUUACUAUUAAGAUUUUAUUAAUAUAUUGUAGCUGCUCAAUCAAUUUUACUUUGUAAAUUUGUGUGAUUGUAAAGUUUACAAAUUCAAUUGGUGUGAUUAUUUCUAAUCUUUUGUUGUGUCACAAGGUUUUUGUGGAGUUCCAAAAGGAGAUGUACCCUUCAGCGAUUGAGCUGGUAGAUGGAAUUGUUAUUACCAAUAACUUUUAAUUACUACUGUAUCUCAACCCCUUAUCAUAGUGAUUACUCCUUCCGUUUCUUAAUAUAGAUUGUUUUAGAGUUGUGCACAAGUAUUAAGGAAAUGAUUGUAUAGCAUUAACUAUAAUAUCAAUUGUCUAUUUUGCCCUUGUAUUGGUAGAAGAGAUUGUUAUUUAUUGGGCAAAAAAUAGUGAGAGAACCAAAGUUACAUUUAAUACUUGGGGUAAUAUUGGAAACUAAGCCAUUAAUGUUUACUUGGAAUUCUAAAACGACAUAUAUUAAGGAACAAAAACAUUUUUCUAAAAUGAUUUAUAUUAAGGAACGAGAGGAGUAUUAAGCAAAUUAAAU
rnacentral:lncRNA from 1 species